UCUCCGACAGGGGCUGAGUUGCUGGAGCUGGGCUGGGGCAGGGGAGAAAGACAGCAGACUCAUCCUUGCACCCCUCCAUGGGCCUGGCCAAGCCCCCAAGAGGAUGGCAGCCUGGGCGUCGGAGCCACCUCCUGGGCAGCCAAUGAGGUGGUCCCCAGGCCAAGGUGGGCAGGUGUUACAGAGAAGAGGGCCCUAAGGGCUCACAACCAAAGUGAUCCGCCAAGCAGGACAGUAUCUGCGUUACAGCCACAGCAGGAAGAACCACUGGAGAGACACUCGGAGGGACUUCCCUGACAUCUGCACCAAGGAGAGUCUGGACAAAGCUACUGAAACUCCUCCAUCUGCUUCUAAAAUGCCCAGAAGACAACUGGACCAGUUUGGUGUUAGAAGUAGGAGGUUGGACGACUUCAUCCCCAAAGGGUCCUGAAGCACCAGAACUGGCGUGUGGAAGGGGCCGAGGCCUAACUGAGGUUGGUGGAUUCACACGUGGGGGUCCUCCAGGACCUCAGCUGCACCCAUUUUCUGGAGGUUUUGCUGCCCACAACACCAGUAUUUCACAACUUCCUGGUCGCUGAGAAUAUUUAUUCAAAAACAGGGAUUGAAAAAAC